rnacentral:rRNA from 1 species
AUUGAACGCUGGCGGCAUGCCUUACACAUGCAAGUCGAACGCGAAAGUAGGGGCAACCCUGCGAGUAGAGUGGCGAACGGGUGAGUAAUGCAUCGGAACAUUUCCAGUAGCGGGGGAUAACCUCGAGAAAUCGAGGCCAAUACCGCAUACGUCCUACGGGAGAAAGCGGGGGACCGCAAGGCCUCGCACUAUUGGAGUGGCCGAUGCCGGAUUAGCUAGUUGGCGGGGUAAAAGCCCACCAAGGCGACGAUCCGUAGCUGGUCUGAGAGGAUGAUCAGCCACACUGGGACUGAGACACGGCCCAGGCUCCUACGGGAGGCAGCAGUGGGGAAUUUUGGACAAUGGGCGCAAGCCUGAUCCAGCCAUGCCGCGUGAGUGAAGAAGGCCUUCGGGUUGUAAAGCUCUUUCGGCCGGGACGAAAUCGCACCCUUUAAUACGGGGUGUGGAUGACGGUACCGGAAGAAGAAGGACCGGCUAACUACGUGCCAGCAGCCGCAGUAA